rnacentral:rRNA from 1 species
GUUCCAGACUCCUACGGGAGGCAGCAGUGGGGAAUAUUGCACAAUGGGGGGAACCCUGAUGCAGCGACGCCGCGUGGGUGAAGGAGCACCUCGGUGCGUAAAGCCCUAUCGGCAGGGAAGAAACAGACGGUACCUGACUAAGAAGCCCCGGCUAACUACGUGCCAGCAGCCGCGGUAAUACGUAGGGGGCAAACGUUAUCCGGAUUUACUGGGUGUAAAGGGAGCGUAGACGGCCAGACAAGUCAGAAGUGAAAGCCCAGGGCUCAACCCUGGGACUGCUUUUGAAACUGCCGGGCUGGAGUGCAGGAGAGGUAAGCGGAAUUCCUAGUGUAGCGGUGAAAUGCGUAGAUAUUAGGAGGAACACCAGUGGCGAAGGCGGCUUACUGGACUGUAACUGACGUUGAGGCCCGAAAGCGUGGGGAGCAAACAGGAUUAGAUACCCUUGUA